rnacentral:tRNA from 1 species
CAGCCAGUAGCUCAUCCGGAUAGAGCACGAACCUUCUAAGUUCGGGGUAGUGGGUUCGAGUCCCGCCUGGCUGG